AGCUUGCGGAGCGGUAUGGCCGCUUCGGCGCCGAGAGCGCCGACGAAAAGUUCGAGCUCUUGCGCUGGCUGUUCUGGGACAACCACAAGCUC
rnacentral:tRNA from 1 species